UGCGUAGGUGGGUUGGUAAGUCCGUGGUGAAAUCCCCGAGCUUAACUUGGGAACUGCCAUGGAUACUAUCAGCCUUGAAUGUCGUGGAGAUGAGCGGAAUAUGUCAUGUAGCGGUGAAAUGCUUAGAUAUGACAUAGAACACCAAUUGCGAAGGCAGCUCGUUACGCGAAUAUUGACACUGAUGCACGAAAGCGUGGGGAUCAAACAGGAUUAGAUACCCUGGUAGUCCACGCCCUAAACGAUGGAUACUCGACAUACGCGAUACACUGUGUGUGUCUGAGCGAAAGCAUUAAGUAUCCCACCUGGGAAGUACGAUCGCAAGAUUGAA
rnacentral:rRNA from 1 species